rnacentral:rRNA from 1 species
UACGUAGGGUGCGAGCGUUAAUCGGAAUUACUGGGCGUAAAGGGCGCGUAGGCGGCCUGUUAAGUCGAACGUGAAAUCCCCGGGCUCAACCCGGGAACUGCGUCCGAUACUGGCAGGCUUGAAUCCGGGAGAGGGAUGCGGAAUUCCAGGUGUAGCGGUGAAAUGCGUAGAUAUCUGGAGGAACACCGGUGGCGAAGGCGGCAUCCUGGACCGGCAUUGACGCUGAGGCGCGAAAGCCAGGGGAGCAAACGGG